AGAGUUCUCAACUGAGUCCCAGAUCUCUUCUGUACCUAGAAACUCCACUGACUGGUAUCUGUGACUGAGGUCUUCCUUUCAAAGCCCACACUGAGGAAGCCUGGCAUGGUUUCUGGGGCUCUCCCUACCUAUUUGGCACCUCCAGCUUUGGGUCCUCACCAGCA
rnacentral:lncRNA from 14 species